rnacentral:rRNA from 1 species
UACAGAGGGUGCAAGCGUUAAUCGGAAUUACUGGGCGUAAAGCGUGCGUAGACGGUUAUUUAAGUCAGGUGUGAAAGCCCCGGGCUCAACCUGGGAAUUGCAUUCGAGACUGCAUAGCUAGGAUGCGGAAGAGGGAAGCGGAAUUUCCGGUGUAGCGGUGAAAUGCGUAGAUAUCGGAAGGAACACCAGUGGCGAAAGCGGCUCCUGGUCCAGCAUCGACGUCAGGCACGAAAGCGUGGGAGCAAACAGG